rnacentral:rRNA from 1 species
UAACGCGAAGAACCUUACCAGGUCUUGACAUCUUCUGCUAACCUAAGAGAUUAGGCGUUCCCUUCGGGGACGGAAUGACAGGUGGUGCAUGGUUGUCGUCAGCUCGUGUCGUGAGAUGUUGGGUUAAGUCCCGCAACGAUCGCAACCCUUAUUGUCAGUUGCCAGCAUUUAGUUGGGCACUCUGGCGAGACUGCCGGUGACAAACCGGAGGAAGGUGGGGAUGACGUCAAAUCAUCAUGCCCCUUACGACCUGGGCUACACACGUGCUACAAUGGACGGUACAACGAGUCGCGAAACCGCGAGGUCAAGCUAAUCUCUUAAAGCCGUUCUCAGUUCGGAUUGUAGGCUACAACUCGCCUGCAUGAAGCUGGAAUCGCUAGUAAUCGCGGAUCAGC